GCUUCCUUAGCUCAGUCGGUAGAGCGCCAGUCUCAUAGCUGAGUAGUGUUGCACUACGUUAUCUGGAGGUCGCAAGUUCGAGCCUUGCAGGGAGCA